rnacentral:lncRNA from 10 species
GUCUAAGUUCAUUUUAUUUUGUAACUUGGUUUUAAUGACAAUCACUGCUGGAAAGAAAUUGCUUACAAAGUCAUGUAGAUCCAAAUAAAAGAAGGCUGUACUUAUUAAAUAUGCUGUAACUUUUCAAUUCCAUCCACCAAUUAUGCAAAAGAUUUUGUUCAAAUUUUGUCCAGUCAGUGCCCAUCUUCCCUGAUGUUAAUAAUUUGCUCUUGCAAAUUAAUUGGGAGGAGUUGUAUUUAAAAGUUUUUAACAAACAUAUUUAAAACUCACUAGGAUCCUUCAUUUGGAAGAUUUUCGAACAGAUUGAAAAAAAUUCUGUCCUUAAAUUUUUAAAGUGUCCAUAUAUAAGAAUUUUUGUAGAAGACAAAUAUUGUUUUAAGCCACAAAAUUAUAUAACAGUGGAAAAUGUUUUAAAGCCUCUGUUUUUAAAGUGCAAUCUCCACUGAAUUAUUUUCUUUAAAAAAAUCCCCCCUAUUUUCUCAUUCUUUAUUAAAAUGCCAACUUUACCUUGAGGAGCAGACUGUGUUUAUUUUUCCACAAGGUAUCUGUAAAUAGCAUAGACUGUCAGUCACCGGUCACUUAGAAAAGUCUGCAAAUAGAAACCAUGUGUAUAUUGUAAGAGAAGAGAGUGCCACAUCCUCCCAGUGGUGAGGAGGAAGAUUGGGAGGGUGCCCAGGGCGCACCUGGGCCUGGAGAGUCCCCGUCUCCUCUCCAGCUCCUCUGCAGAGCCACGUUACUGCUGCGGCCACUGGCUGAGUGACACAAGGCCUCCGGCCCUGCGGUUGGAUGGUUCAGGGGCCACCGCCUCUGACCCUGUGAGCGGGAAGCUGGUCUGAGGAAGGGGAUGUGAAGGCCACGUGACCUCCCAGAGGGAGGCGAGUGGGCGGGUGGAGUCUUCUCUGUCCUUGAGGGGAGGAGGGCAAGGAGAGUUCCUUAGGGGCCUCGGAGGGGCUGAGAACCUUUAAGCGGGUGGGGGCGGAUCCCUUAGUUGUUAUUGUUGUCUUUAACCUGUUGGGCAUUAAGGACAUUGCAGCAAUAGACCUGUGCCCCAAAUUGCUGACAAAGGUGGGAAAAAAAGAACGUUCCAUCUGGCCGGGUGGGCAUAGAAGGGGGUGGAGGGAGCGCCUGGGUAUUGUCAGGUGAGGAAGGUCAGAGGGAGCCGUCCACCCACGUGGCCAGCGAAACGGAGCGUGGGAGGAGGCCCACGAACACCUGAGAUCAAAACCCACAGGGCACGUGAGAAGAUCCCAAUUCCAGGGCGCGAACGAAGUCCAGGAGCUUCAAAAUUGGCCCGCAUCAUGAAAACAUCCGGCAGACGAUUGAAGACUCACUCUUGAUGCAGACGCUGACCCGAGGAAGGAAAAGGGUGAGAAACAGCUAGGCAGACACAGCAGAGCGGGAAAGAGGCCGACGCCGACGGAAUGCAGGAGGCUUGGGGGUCGGGCCCAGGAGAUCUGAUCUGAGAGUAACAAGUUACAGGAGCGCGGAAAAUCACAGAUGGAGGAAGGGCAGUCAUUACAUAUCGGAACUCUCCCCUGAGUUGGGGGACGCCUGCAGAGUAGGCAUGGAAGGGCUCACGGAGUUCUAGGUUCAGCUGAUGAGAAAAGAUGCCCUCUGUGCUAUGUCAUGGUAACAGCCUCCGAACUCUGCAUACACACUGUAUUCUUCCCUUUGUGUGACACUCCAGAAACAACAAAUUGCAUCCAUAGUGAUGGAAAUCAGACCAGUCGUUGUCAGGGGCCACCGAGUUGACUGGGAUAGUGAUGGAAAUUUUAAUGAAUACAUAGAUGUAUAAACAUGUCAAAACAUGUACUUUUUAAAAUGGAUCCAUUUUAUUGUAUACAAAUUUUACUAAAUAAAAUGGAAUGGAAAAUUAUAAGUGCUGUACUUUCUGCAUUGAGGAAAAAGAAAAGUCAACCAUUUUUCAGUCAAAAGGAAUAUGUUACCUAAAAAAGCAAAACAAUCAGAAUGGUCUCAGGCUUCUCAUCUACAACACUGCAAGCUAAAAGCAGUGGAAGAGCAAAAGACUGCACCCCAGGAACCCCUGUUCUCAAUAAAGAGAUUGUCGAAGUGUUAGGAGCAGAAGGUAUUUGAAGAUACAUAAAACCUCAGUGAGUUUAUCACCUAAGUGCCUCAUCUAGGAAAGCACUGGAGAAACAGUUCUAAUGAAAUGGCAAACCCAGAAACGACAUAGCAGAGACCUCCGGAUGAAGGAGGAUGGAGAGGAAGGACGCAGUGGCAUGAGGAAGCUUCAUCUACUCGGAGGCAUCCCGAGGGGCUCAGCCGUUCGGAGCAGCGGAGGGGCACAAACGCUGCAGGGUGGCUGGGUGUGGUCUUCACAGGGGACGGCAGAAGCAUAAGAGAAACUGAGGCUGCGGUGUGAGUAGGAACCUGGCUGCAGUGAGUUAUGGGUUGAGAGAGACAGUGAGUGUGUGUUUGGUGCACAUAAGUAAUUGUCUUUUUUUUUUUUUUUUGUCUCACUCUGCCACCCAGGUUGGAGUGCAAUGGUGCAAUCUCGGUUCACUGCAACCUCCACCUCCCGGGUUCAAGCAAUUCUUCCUGUCUCAGCCUCCUGAGUAGCUGGGAUUACAGGUGCUCACCACCAUGCCCAGCUAAUUUUUUUUUUUUCAGUAGCGACAGGGUUUCAAAUCCUCUUAAGGGCACAUUGAUAAGUCUGGUUGAAAAUAGGAUUUGAUUCAUCCAAAGCAGGAAGAAGUGACUGCUAUGAAGGUGAAGGCACAGCCAUGAAAGAUUGAUCAUUCUGCAACUCAGGAGGGUCUGUCUAGGGCCCAGGAGCCCGUGUUUUCCUUAUUAACCAAAAAUAAUUAAGAAAGGCGAUGAUUCCGUCUGCACCCUGAGCUCUGCACGUUGAUUUGGUGAUGAACGGAGCACCAUUGCCAUGAGGACAAUUGCCAGUCCUUUCCCGACUGGAAGAUGGCAACAGCCCUGCCCCAUUUCCCCGCCGUAUUUAUACUGGACUUUAGAGAACUGUGAAAGCCCAUCUGGAAAACACUCAAGGCAGGUGAGUGCCCCUCACAAACCCUGUGGAGAACACCAUCCUUCCCUCCACCAUCAUCACCAGCAACAAACGUUUGCUCAACCCACGGUGUGCAAGGCAGAGGGCCCGGUGCUGCAGGGACAGAAAGAGGAAUGAGGGACAAAUGAACAUGAUGGAAGGGAAGGGAAGGAUGUCUGUGUUCUCCAGGGAUUUGCCAUCCACCUGGGUGCUGGUCUGAUGUCCCUGAGUCACUGAAGCAAUGCCAGCAGCAUUUUUAUGGGCAGAAAGAUCAAUGCCCGUAAAUAGCAGGGCAUCCUCCCUGUCAAAUAAAGGUGACCUAAGAUUCUACCAGUUCGGGCUGAGCUCUGAGUCACCUAUUUAUUCAAGUUAUAAUUACUGAGCUCCACUGCAGAGGCUGCUGGACACACCCCUAUUUCCUAGAAAUGGAACUCUUUCUAGCACCGUGCAUGGCUGACUGGAAUAAAACUAUACCUCCCAGACUCUCCUGUAUCUAUGGUUGGCCACAUGACUAACAUCCGCUUCAUGGCAUGUAACUGGAAGUGUUGUGUGCUGCUUCCCUAAAGGGAAGUGGCUGUGCCCCGAAUCAUCCCUCCUCCUUCCUGCUGUCUGAUAUAUGGAUAUAUAGGUUAGAUCUAAGCAGCCAUCUCAGACUACGAGAACACUGGGAGACAGUGGAGCAGAGAGUGGAAGGGGCCUGGAUCCCUGUCGGCUGUGUGGAGCCGAGCUGCCCACACCACCUGCACUGUCCACCUUUGGAGUUUCUGCUUGAGGGAACAAAAUCUUGUGUGGUUGGGUCAAUGGUAAUUCGGGGUCUCUGUUCUUUGCUGCUGAACCUAAUACUGGUGGAUAUAAGCGCCUACUGUGCAUCAGGACCCUGUGCUAAGGACUGGGACUUUGAGAAUGGAUAAGAGAAAGACAGCCCCUGCUCCCAGGGAGCUUAGAGUAGAGAGAGAGAAAGAGACAGAUCAAAGACAUCAUGUUACCUGAAAUAAGCCAGGCACCGACAGUUACAUUCUGCAUGAUCUCACCCGCAUGUGGAAUCCAAAAACGUUGAUCUCAUAGAAAUAGAGAGUGGAACAGUGGUUCCCAGAGGAUGGAUGGGCGGGGGUAGGAGCUUGGUCAAUGGGUGCAAAGUUCCAGUGAGACAGGAAGAACAGGCCUGGUGUGCUAUGGCACAGCGGGUUAAUAAGAAUGUAUUAUAUAUUUCAAGAGAGCUGGCAAAGAGGAUCUCAAUGUUAUCACAACACAGAAAUGAUAAAGGUCUGAGGGGUUGACAUGCUAACCACCCUGAUUUGAUUAUUAUACCACGUGUGCACGCAUGGAAACAUCACGGUGAACCCCAGAAACAUGUACAAUUGUUAUGUGUCAAUUCAAAACAAAAAUUUUGUUUAAAAAGUAAGCUAACAAACACAUUCACCCCAGCUGAUAAAUUCAAUAAACUAAGGGAAUGGCUUGCUUGCUAAGUUAGAGAAUAAUGGAGACAGACAGAAAAUAGCGGCUAGAAAGGGCUUCUAGAAGGAGGCGGGUUUUAGGGAAAGAUGGAAAGAGGAGUAAAGGGCAUUUUAAGAAAUUAUCUCCUAUUAUUAAUCUUGGCCAAAAUUCAGAAAUGGGAAGAGAGAGGCUGAUCCAUCUGCAGCCAACAAGGGCAUUUGCAUAGGGCAAGGACCCAACCCCGCAGCAGAGAAGGGGAGCUCCUCCCAAGCCAGGGCAGGUGGUCUUGGGGUGUCCCCAGUGGGUCAAGCCCUGGGGCUGUAGCUGGCUGUGGUCGGGUUGUAUUCAGCUGAGGGAACACUCAGUCACUAGCCUGAGUCUCCAGACUGCCUGAGACACAACGGCUCUUUGCAUGAAUGCAGAUUCCUGGGCCCUGCUCACUGGAGAUUUCUGAUUUUGUGGAAUUAAAUUGUAUUGGUGAGAUCUAAAAAGCCCAAGGAAUAAUGAACUUUCAAAAACUCAGAUUUAAAAGGGGUCUCAGGUUGUCCAGCCCAAACACCCACAGGGCUGUGACCCUCUCUCACCCUUACCUGCCUGCACAGCUACCAGCAGAGGCAGGUUCUGCCCUUCCAGGGCUGCAGUCUUCUCCCUGUAGGAAAUUGUACUGAAAGGAAAUCUGGGCCGGGCGUGGUGGCUCACGCCUGUAAUCCCAGCACUUUGCGAGGGUAAGGCAGGUGGAUCACUUGAGGUCAGGAAUUCGAGACCAGCCUGGCCAGGUGCAGUGGCUCACACCUGUAAUCCCAGCACUUUGCGAGGCCUAGGCAGGCGGAUCACUUGAGGUCAGGAGUUCGAGACCAGCCUGGCCAACAUGGUGAAACCCUAUCUCUACUAAAAAUAAAAAAUUAGCCGAGCAUAGUGACAGGCACCUGUAAUCCCAGCUACUCGGGGGGCCAAGGCAGGAGAAUCGCUUGAACCUGGGAGGCAGAGGUUGCAGUGAGCCCAGAUCGUGCCACUGCACUCCAGCCUGGGCGACAGAGCAAGACUCUAUCUCUAAAUAAAGAAAGAAAGAAAUAAGAAAAGAGAUCUGACUCCUCUUGCAGGGCUGCCUCUGGAAAUACCGAAAAUAAGAUUAAUCUCUUUUCCAAAUGAGAAGCUUUCAACUUACCACGGCCCUGGACGUCUCCUCUUUCCCAGGCUAACUAUCUUUGCAUCCUACAGCCAUUUCUCUUGUAAGCUUCACUGGCAGGCCCCCAGUCCUCUGGUGCAGCAGCCUGGGAAGGGCAGCUUCCUCUCGGCCGGCCCGGAUUCCAGAGAGAAGGGAGACGAUGGAGACGGGAAUAUGUGUGCUGUGUUCUUCAGAGGGAUUCCACAUUCAGGACCCCGCUUCCUAACCAUAGCCUGGAGAUUUCUGAGGAGGCUUCGAAAUGAUUUAGUUUAACCUCCUGAAUUAGUUUCCUAGGGGUGUCAUAAAAAAUGACCCCAAACUGGGUGGCUUCAAACAACAGAAAUGUGUCCUCCCACAGUUCUGGAGGCCGGAAGUCCUACAUCACGGCGGCAGGGCUGGUUUCUUCUGCGGCUGUGAGUGGGAAUCUCUCCGGGGCUCUCUGCAGCUCCUGGCAGGUGCGGGGAAGCCUGGCUGCUGGAUGCAUCACUCUAACCUCUGCCUCUGUCUCCACGUGGCCUCCUUCCCCGUGGCUCUGUGUCUUCUCCCCUUCUCUUCUCUUCUAAGGACUCCUGGCAUUGGGUUUAGGGCUUACCCUAAACCAGAAUGAUCUUAUCUCGAGAUUCUUAUCUUAAUGACAUGGCCCUUGGGCCAACUAGGGGCACACUCUGAUGUUCCUGUUGGACAUAUCUUUUGGAGGUGGCGCCAUUUAACCCAGCAGAACUCUUACUUUACAGAUAAAUGCCAUGGGGGGCAAAAGGGGAGUGGCGUGCCCAGGAGUCCCUGCAGAGUUCGCGAGGAACCUGAGCCUCAACAGCCCUGGUCGGCCCUCCCCGCCCUCUCACAUGGAGAACACAGAGACACAACCAGGACAGACGAUGGUACGCACGGACCCGGCAUUGCUGCAAAAUGCGAGGCUUCCAUGAAGUUCUCAAGUAAUUGAAGCUUACCUCUUUAAGGGACAAAAUUAUGUUCAAAAUGCUCUUUUGAUAGUAAGCGUUCUAAACCACAGAAACAUACUCUCCCAACGUGCUUAAGAGAAUACAAGUUUGAAACAGUCCGUCGGCAUUUUGUCGGUAACUCAGGGUGGUUGCCGAGGGGCCAUUCCGAGCCGGGGCUGGGCUGUGAUCCUUCCAGUUCUGCUCGACUGGCUGGGCCGUGGCCCCUGCCUCAGUUGCCCCCACAUCGCCGGCUUCUGGACGUGGUGACUGCCAGCUGUUUCCCCCAAGAAUUGGCCCUUCUCAGAAUGGCAGCCCAUUCAUUCGCCAGCUCUUAAUGGGAUGUGUGAUGGAAUACACUUUGAGGGGGUGGGUGGAGAUAUUAAUCUUUGUUUUGCUUUCUUAUUUCUCCCCCUCAUCCAAUUUCAAGCAGAUCACCCGGCUCUUUGUAAUUUUUUUGCCUCGGGGAUUUUUUUUCCAGGCAGAACGCCAAAGCAGCUCAAAGCCAAAGGCUCUUUCUGUCUUUUGUAAAAACCUAAACCCAUUUCAUAAAAACCCAAACCCAGGAGGCGAGUGGGAGGGAGAGGGCAAGAUUCACUGAGGCUGGGAAAAGGAGGAGGCUGGUGUCCCCAAGGACCUGAGGUCUGAGCACAGCUCCAAGGCACAGCCUGGGAGGGUGGAGCGCACACGGCUGCCCAUGUUGUGCCCUGAGGCUCUCAUCCCCGGCAAGGAUCCCCAGGCAUCGGGCAGGGUGGAGGAACAGCCAUCAGCCUGAGGGCAGCGGGACUUGCGUGCGAGUGGCACUGAGGCAGUGGUGACAGCUCCCAGCCCUUCAGCUCUUCUGGGCACCAUGGAAGCUUCUGGAUCCUGGAGGGACUCUAGGAGGGGAGAGAGUUGCAUUUUCUGCCAGCCCCACAGGGUGGGGCUCCAAGUUGGGUUUAAGUUGAUUUAUGUAAACAAAGAAAUGAAACUUCCGGAUUUCUGGACAGCACGGCCCUACAAGUUCAUGCACUGAGGCCUCUUCUCUGCUCCGAAUACGCAGCAGCAUUAGAGAAAACAUAUUUCAACAAAACAAGCCAAGCAUCACAGACACCAAAAACAGACAGAACAAAACCCGUGGGUGGGGUCUGAGAUGGGGCUUCCGGUCCGGAACCAAUGUCGGGGAAGUGCUGGCACCUGGUGCAGCCCCCACGGUUGGGAGCAGAGGCCAGCUGACUGCACAGAGAGACCCCCACCCCAGAGAGGGAACAGAAAGAAAAUUCCAGCUGAGUGCUUCUCGGGCUUUAGCUUCCACAGAUUCAAGGACCAGGAGGUGAGAGGAAGCAGCCUCCUGUCCAGGACCCAGUUCCGGGGCCUGCCCACCCUAGGAAUAGAUGCUGUGAUUUCUUCUUUGAGCCUCUGCAACUCCUCAAGCCUGACUUAGAGCAUCCUCAAGUCACAAGAGAGAAACAAAGGACGGAAAGACGCAAAGGACGCUUGCUGGCUUUCUCUUUUAAACGCCUGGCUGACCACAUCCCCGACUCUGGGCUGAGCCAGGGCCCGAGGCUGGCCCCAGGCGCUGCCCGGAGCGGGAGGCAGAGCUUACGCCUUGCAUCUUGCCUGAUGACAGACCUCAGACAAUUUCUGGGGCAGAGGAAAAGAGCAUAAUAAGCUUAAUUUCAGCAUUGUAAAGGUUAUUAUUAUAAUCAUUUCCCUCUGAAGAAUUGUAAAUAAUUCAUUUGCAAAACUCUAGUUGAAGUCUCUAAUUAGAUUCUCCUUGGGCUCUUACAAAGCUCCUUCCGCC